UCCCUCCAUCCAAUCAGCGCCCCGCUCCCUUCACCCCCCCACAUAAAGCCGGAAGCCCCCGGGGCAGGCUCAGCUAUGGCGGCUCCGCGAGCAGCCCGAGCCGCUGCCGUUCCCCUGGGGGCUCCUCCCCUCUCCGGAUACCGGCCCGGAGCAGCGGGGGCCCCGCCGUUACCGUGCCGGAACCGCCGGGCGCCGUGUCGGCCAUCUUGCAGCGCCUCCUGGGCCUGCAGGGGUUUGGCCGAGGCAGAUUUGCAGCUGCAAGAAGUGGCAGGAGACCCACGGGGACUGGGAAGCGGCCGGCCCUCGGGGCACCGGGGCGGCUCUGAGCUGUGCAUCCAAGCAUCAACCUCUGCAGGUGAGCAGAGAUCGUUGCUGAGCAUCUAUUUUCACCUCGGCUCACGGCGUGCAGGAAGUAAAUAAACACUCGGGCAUGCUUUUAACGUAUUUGUCAGCUAAAUGGUGGUUUAAAAAAAAUGACUUUGCAUACCGUGGGGGCUGAAUGGGCUCGGGUCUGCACGUGGGAGCCCGUUGAAAUCGGUGGGGUCUCAAGGGUAUAAAACUGAUGGCAAGCAUCAGCCCUGUCCGAGCCCUUUUGUAUCUCAUCAUCUCAGCUGCUGGCACACACAGCGGUGCCCUGCAGCUCUUGUGGUGUUAGUCACGGGCUGACCUUUCUGCUCUUGGGCACAUGGGGACUGGGCUUGCCCACAUCAGCGAAGGAAUCAUCCAGGGUUUGAUGGUUAUAACUGCAAAGACAGGAGUCUGUGUUCGGCAGUGUCUCCGAAGCCCACAGCCCUGCCAGGUUCCCAAGUAGAAAUGCAGAGUCCCUAGUUUAUCAUUUAUUAGCUAAUUAGGACCAACUGCAACCUCAUAUAGUACGUGCUUGAGAAUGAAAGAUCCCCAGCUUCCAUGGGCAUCGCGUCGGUGUCUGGAGCAGAGUAAGUCUCCGGAGCAAAGGAGGAGUUUCCAGGGCACGCAGUUGGUUUCUGGUGUCCCUGGUUGCUUGUUCGCAGUAACAGCUGACACUGAGAUGAAUGUGUCUCUCCUCUUUCAGAUGCAUCAUAAUCUCUGGCCUCAAACAGCUCAUGCAGGCACUUGGCAUCGCUGCGUGACAACCCGGUAGUGAGGGAUGGUGAGGCAGAGGAGAGGAAAGCGUGGCUGGAGCUGAAGGGAGCUGCCCUGGCAGGAGGCUGAGGAGUCUCCGGAGAAAAAAAAAAUCCCACAAUUUUACCCCAUGGAAACAAACCCCUGUGAAUGUUAAUAUUGGAGUGUACUGCAUGUGGCUUACUUGGUGCAGCAGCCACAGGCCCCACCAGCGUGGUUCUCCAAAGGACUGAACGUCCAGGUUAUAAGGCAGAAUGCAUUUGCUGGGGGCAUGUAGGGAGCCAAAGUGAAAAGCAUCGCGUCCACUUCAAAGCAAAAAGAGUGAGGCAGAGAUUUGUCAAUUUACACAGGCUUUUGGGAUGGAAUGGGCUCUUCUGAGUCCCACCUUUGGCUUUGGCACCAGCCCUUUCCCUGGGGGCAGAAGGGGACUGGGUAUCUUGGUUUCUGUAGGUGCUGUAGGUUUCUGUAGGUGAUGUAUCUACAGUGGCAGGGGUGCUCUGUGCAGGUAGGACGUUUUCCACCGGUGUUUUUCAGAGGCUGAAAAAAGUGCAGAUUUCCUCCUCUUCACUGUGCGUUAUUUUGGAUAAGCGAGGUUUUUGGCCUGCUCAGCACCUCGAGUAAAAGCAGUGUCUGCGUUUCCUCCUAACCUGGCACCUUUCCUCCUUCGCCAAAUUCGGCACAGCAGAAGGGCGAGGCGGCGUAUUCAGCUCAUGCUGCUGAGAAAAUCGUAGCAAGGGCAGAAAGAGGAGGUUGUCUGAGAGCUCCCAGCCGUACCGCGCAGGAGAUUUUGGAUAGGAAGUGAGGAGCAACUUUUCCCAUGGGAACUACAGGGGGAGGCAAGCCGAACUGAAUGGGGGCCUCAUAAAUCAAUGACACACACCUUCGACUUUGUGCUAUAGCCUUGGGCGGCCGGAAUUUAUAAGCUCAAUCAAUAAUUAAGGGAAAAAAAGCAACAAAACAAGAAAAUGCAUCAGUUAUAAAAAUGCUGGAUUCCAUGCAAGUCUCUUUCCAUCAGCCUCAAACCAGCUCUGAAGGGGAAACUGAGGCACGGGGCGUGGGGUCUGUUGGCUGAGGGCAUGCAUGGAAGGUGUGCGUGUGUUUGCUCCAUCCUGGAGCCCUGAACUCGAACCGAUGCAGCUGCUCGUGGCCAGCCCCGCUCCUCACCUCCCCUCUGGGUGAGGGAGGAAGAGGUCAGGCAGUCCGACGGGCAGGGACACCCACGUUUUGUUCCACUUCUCAGCUAAAUAUAUAUUCCAUGUGUGUUUUUUUUUUUUUUUGCCCAGAAGCGGCACAGUGCUUGUGCUGCCUGCUGGCCAAGUGUGCGUUGUCGGAGCACUUCUCAGGUGUUAACCAACUCAAACGGUGAUGAUGGGAUUUUCCAGGGUUGUUAUUCUCAGCCUAAGCUGCGGCAGCUGCGAUGGAAAUAAAGUCAAGUACGCUGUGAAGUGCACGGGCCCAGGGAGAUGUGAUUCAGGACGUAUGAUCGUACUUCUCCGUGUGCUGUCAUCAAGGUACCUUUGAAUUUGUGGCUGAGUAAGAGCAGGCUGCUUUCAGCCAGGACAGUAACCGGGUCACAGACUCCCUCCGGUGCUGUGACCCCAAUAACUGCCCCUCCUAAGCUCGGGGAUGAUAAUUGGUGAUGGGUUUUUCUCCGUGCCUCAGCCUAGACACUAGCUGGGUGCUUGAGUCCCUCCUUGGGCAGAGCUUGAGGGUGCAGCCAGCUCUUCUGCCGCCUUGCUGCCCUCAGCUUUCUCUGUGGGUAGGAAUUUCAACCCCCUAACACUUUAGGGCAACCUCUCCCUCUCACCUGGGCGUUAGCAGAGCGCGAGGGGCUCAUGUGCAGUUGGAUUUUGUUGUUCUUUUGAGGGCAGCGAGCUUCUAAGAAACCCAGAGAGGGAGCACAAAGGGACCUUUUGCUUAUCUCUGACCUUUCUGGCAGGGAUGUGCCUCCAGGGCCCAGAUAACGCGAAAGCUGGGAUGCGUGAUUAGGGAUUGAGGCCCUGAGAUGCCAUCUGCAAAGGUCUGGUAAAGACCUGUGGGGUGGCUGCAAAGGGGAAAUAUAAAAGUCCUGUCUGCAAAGAGGUGGUGAGAGGCCAGGGGUGGAGGGAUGUGGGACUGGGGGGGCCGUGCCAAAGCAGGGGCUUUGCAAAAGGGCCAGGGGAGAGGUUGUGGCCUUUGAGUUUCUCGCUGAUGAGGGUUUCAGUGAGCUGGAUUUGGGGGAAGAGCCUCCCCCAGCCCAUGCCCUGCUGUGCACAGAACCCCACGUGCCCUGCCUGUGGUUUGCACUGCCCAGUGGAAACAUUUCCCCAUGAAAAAUCAGCAUUUUCUUUUUACCUAGGUGUAAGUAGAUGAGGGCAGGAGAUGGGGUGACCCUGCUGGGGUCCGUAGCUUUGGGCACAGGUCAAGAACUGGGGCUUGGAGGAAGCAAAUCCUGGAUUUGGGCUUUGUGCUCCACGUCCCAGCUCACAUCACGGUGCCUGAGAGCCCUCCAGACACCGUUCCUGUGAGCAGCAAAGGCAGAACUGGAGCUGCUGGUGUCUGAGAGCUGCUUUCCAACAGAACCGGAGCUUUUUCUGGAGUGCUUUUUCUUGCCAGAAGCAUGUUUUGGGUCUCGUUUCUCCUGAGCUGCCUGCUUGUGUGGAGCUUGUGGGAACGUAGCCGUGUUGGUACCUUCACUGGGCCACCUCUGUCCGACUCGGCUGGAUUAAGAAUUUAUGGGAAAGGAAGGACAGACGCGCACAGCGGGAUUGCAUACGGCCUGUUUCUUUAGAAAACAAGACCAGAAGCUCGGCGAGGGCUCGGGUUCAUCCUGCUGCGGGACAGGAAGAUUUUUGUGGGAUGGGAAAAAUGUUCCCUGCCCAGCUCCGGUCCGUGCCGCAGUGCAGGGAGACCCAGUGCGGUGAGCCUGGGCUGCCUGGACAGACAGACAGACAGGACCACAGGGGGUGUUUAUGUCCAGCAACCUCAGGAAAAAUUCCCCUUUCUGCCAUCGCAGCCAAAGCCUGCCUCUUCCACCCCGCGAAGGACAGCACGAGGCGAGCAAGGAGGAAAAGGGAAUAACCGGGCAGAAAGCGCAGAAUCCACGCACGUAUAUAUUUAUUUUCAGGCUCCAGUGACCCAGCUCUGAUUUCCUUUUUUAAUUAAUGGCAGCAGCCUUGGUUUCUGUGUUUGGCGCAGUAACGAGCGUUUCCUUUGUCGCUGCUGUCACUUCCACGGCUCUGCCUGCCGCUGGGGCUCAGAAGGUGCAGCCCUGCUCCCUGCUUCGUCAUAAAUAGGUCCCGAGACCUUUAUCUGCCAGCACCCUUCGAGCAGCAGCAGCCCUUAAAUGUGGUCACACCGACACGAGGGGCUUUACAUCAGCACAGUUUUACCCGUAGGCGAAUUUACAUCGAGUUAAAUGGUUUGGCCACCGUCAUUUUCUUUGCAUGGUGAAAUGAGUGAAGCUUUUCUCUGGGUGGAGGGAAGGGGGAAGUCCUCCUGGCUCUGAGAUGAAGCUGAUAAAGUCCAUCCCUGCGUGGCUUAUCCCAUUCACGUUCUCCUGCUCCCUUAGGGGGGGCACCGACGGCGAGGGCGCUCCACAGGCAGCCGGAUCCUGUCCCUGAUCUGUUGGAAAUCUUCCCUGGGAGCAGGGAUCCCGUCCCUGAUCUGUCGGAAAUCUGUCGGAAAUCACCCGUGGGAGCAGAGCAGGCAGCACAACGGCUGGGCUCGAGGAAGGGAUGCAGACUGGCAGCAGGAAGGGGAGCUCAGCUCCUUUGGGCAGCAGCCUGGGCUUCGGGGCUUCACCCAGGAAACCGGACCCCAAAUUGUCCUCGCUCCCCGCUCCAGCAGCCAGUUUCUCGUGGGACUCCUUUCUCUGCCUUAUCUCGCCGGAUUGGCACCUCCUCAGUGUCUCCUUGAGCUCUCUGGGCGCAGAAAGGCUGGGGUCUGGGGGCAGGGGGGCUUUUGUACCAUUGUAAGGCAAAUCAGAGCUGCUGGUUCCCGAAUCCGGGCGCUCGCAGCACUUGGAGCAGGCAGGCCACUUCAAAGGGCUUUCUGGGAGCUGUCACUACAAAAGCUAGCGCUCGGCAAUUAAAGUCUCUAAAUCCUGACUGAAGCUGAUUAAUUUACACCAAGUUAAUUACUAGGUCCCUUUCCAAGAGCCUGAUACGAGUCAUCCCAUCGCACGAUGUCAUUUUCAGGGAGAAUUAAACCCUUUGCUUAAAUGGUUCUGGAGCUGCUUUGAAGACGCAGUCCUGUGGCAUCUUUAGCCUGGGAAUUUUCUAUUUUUUUUUUUCCAUCUCGAAGGCCUUUAGCGCCGUUAAUGAAUGAACAUCAUUAAUGAUUAAUCACCUGAAUAUGAAUGGAGUAGGCUUCGUGCCAGGUAAAAGCAGAAUAAAUGCGUUUGCCUGAGCUCUGCUUUGACACGUGUGCUUUUGGAGCAGCUGGCAGCAGCUCCUCUGAAUCCAGUGGGCAGUGCUGGCCCUCCGCUGUCUCGUUUGGCCAAAGGGAAACUGAGGCACGAAGGAACUAAAUGAUCCGUCCACACUAACGAGCAAGGCAGGGAAGAGCUGGGAAAAUAACCCCAAAGCCCUGAUGCUUCCCAGCUUUUUCCAAUAUUUUUCUCCUUACCGUGAGCAUUUAUUAUAUUUCCAUUUGAGAUCGUAUCGACUCAGUGAGAGGGAUGAUGUUCCCUGUUCUCUCUGGGAAAACUGAGAUACUAGAAAAUAGAAAUGACUCAGAGCAAGACAGAAGAUCCCCUAUAAAAGGAGUAGGGACAAUUUGCUAGAGCUGUUACUGGUGUGGACUCUGAAGCAUGUGGCUCAGCAUCUCCUGUCGUUCUUUUUAUAAUACAAGCUAGUCCUCAUAUCCAGGGAGUAUCCGAGCCCUUUCUUGCUUGUAAUCUCGCUCAGGAAUCGCCAGGAGUUGGCACUGUGGGCUCCAAAGGAAGUGGCAGGAGCCAGGACUGGUUGUUAGCUGUCAAGCCCCAAAAGGUCACGCUUAGGUUGUGGCGCUGAGAGGAACGAGGUAGGAGUGCUGGUGCAAAUGGAAAACAUUUCCAUGCGCUGCACUCUUGUCUCUAGGAAACCUUUCAAGCACUCCCAGACCCAGCAGCUCGCUGAGAAGACCCAGAUCUCAUUUCUUUCACUACACUUGCCAGCAAAAAGGGUGGUUUUUUUUUUUUUUUUUUUUUUUUUUUUUUUUUUUUUUCCUUCGAGUAGAAUCUGCUCCUGGCUCCGCCGGAGCCGGUCACAGUUUUUGUUCCAAAUUUAAGCCCUUCCGUAUUCAGCUGGGCUUUCUGCACUGCCACACGGCCUGAUCCCUGCGUGGGCAGGGGGAAGCUGACCACUGAACCCUGCCUGCCCUCCUGGGGGUCCCCCAAUGUGCCUGGAGCCGGGUGGUGACCGCGGAAGUGUGCGUGGCCCUUCUGCCCCAGAGCGUGACCACGGGAAAGGGGCUCCGUCCCAAAUUGUAGGCGAUGCUCUGGGGCCCUUCAGUGGGCAAGCCAACGGAUUUCGGGGGGAGCCUUCGGCCUCGGUGGCAGCAGGGGCUGGGGGGGCUCCUUGUGCCUCCCUGCUGCUUGGGUGCUUGCCGGGCCGAUGAGAUGUUUGCCCUUCCCUCGUGCCCCAAGGAGCAACCCCGGCUGCUCCCAGCAUCAGGGAGGUGAAUCCUCUCGGUUUUUUUGGAGCUGUUUUCUCCAAGGGACUCAAAGGACCUGGAGCCGCUCCAGUUCCCUUGGCCAAAGCCCUCGAAUUACAGGGUAUGCGAGAGAUGUAAGUAGCAGUGAGGUCUCUCUGUCAUCUCCCACCGCUUCCAACUGCUUUCAUUGCUCCAGGGCCUCCUGUUCUUUCCUCCCCUGUAGCAAUUAAGAGUUCAUCCAGUUCCCUGGGCUCUUUUGGGAACUCUCAGAGGCAGCUGCAGGCUGACUGCGCUCCCGCUGGGGUCAGGAUGGGAGCUGAACCCAUCAGUCAUCACCCAGGGAUCGGCUGCUGAGCUGUGCCUGACUUUCUCCUGAAUUUUCAGACCGCUGGUGGAAGGUCGGCUUGGCCGCGCCGUGUGUCUUUCUCCUUCCAUUCUGCACCACGAGGGCUGUCAGCCGCCAAACUGGGCAACACCAGCACGAAACUGGACCACAGCAGCAGGUAACUGGACCACCACAACACGCAACCGGGAGGCUGGAGCCUGCAGAAAGUCUUGGCCAAAUGAUUUCAGAGCGCUCUGGGGCUGGCACGCAUCCCCAGAUGGCUGCUUUUAAGGGCGGCAGCGAUUCUCUCCAAGCGUCUGCUCAGACAGCCGGCACUGCUCACUGCAGCAAUGGCCACGGGAUCACACCUUUAAAUCAAACGGCUCUCGUCUCUGUGAAAUCUUCAGCUCAGAUGUGGGAUGGGAGGGGGCAGGUUUCUAAUAAAGCUCAGCUGUCUCCCAGAAUAAUCCAGACCCUGUUCUUCCACCACUGCCUUUGAGAACAAAAAGACUCGCUGGCUGCUGAGCGCCUUUGAAAACUCAGCCCUUGAUCUAGCUUUUAUUUUUCUCUCCUUGUCCUCCCUUUUCUUCCCCUUGCUGGCUCUCCUAGCGUGCAUGCAUCUUCCCAGCUCCUGUCUCUGCCGAGGAGUCCCCGUCUCGUGCCAGUUUGACGUUUGCCUGUUCUGAAUGCCAGAAACCCCUGGAGCUCAGGGUCACGUUAACAAGUUCAGCUUGGCCGGGGGAGCAGGCUGCUCCAAACCGAGGCAGGAGAAGCCAGAUGAGAGACUCCAGAGGUGGCCGUUCCGAAGUCACGCUUGCAGAACAAAGGCAGGGCCGUUCGGGGUCAGGGACCAGCAAAGCUCGCACGCCGCUGCACCCGCCGGGCUGUGACGACCUGCGUGUCCUCGUCCCCGUGUUCCUCAUGUGUUUGUGCAGGCCGUGUGCUCCUCGGACUCUCUCCCAGGUUUUUAGCAGGUGGAGCAUUGCUUCCCAGAGGGGUGCCAUCCCCUGGUGCUUCUCCAUCACCCCUGCAGCCCCAUGACAGCCACUUACCCGGCCCUACAACACCUCCCGGCCCCAAACCAGCAUCUCCAGCAUCUUUCUGCUGCUUCCAGCGGGCUUUGGCUCAAGUACACGAGGAAGGAGACGUUUUUAUGGUACUGACAGUUCCUGGUAGGCCUGGCGAGCCCCGCACUCCUUGCUGCCUGUCCCAAGCUGUGCAGAUAACCCGGGGGUGGCUCUGAGGAUGGGGCCGGGCAGCGCUUCUGCACUUAUCGGUGCUCUGAGCCUGGAGCACGCCUGGCACAGCAGCCCUGGGGCAGGGAGUCUCGCCCACCAAAAGGUGAGGAGGAGCCAAGAGCAGCUGCGAGGUCCCCUCGUUUGCUGGGCUCUGGGAAAUCACCCAGAGAGGAGUUUGUAGCCCUCCAUCGCAGAGCAGGGGAAAAUCCGUGCAAAGGAGUGCCACGGGGAUCAGCGCCCAGGGGAACAGGGCUGUGUCCCCCACACCCAGCACCCAGGAAGGUGUCUGAGCAGAACAAGGGGCCGGUGGUGUGCUUGGAGCGAUCUGGUGGCGCUGGGGAGAGCUCUGAGCUGUCAUGCCCAGGCUGCCUCCAGCUCCUCUGCUCCUUGGGGAGCUCCAGCCCAGCACCCGGCAGCUCUCCGGCCAGGCGUUAGCGCUCGUUUUGGGGCCAUGCUCUGCCAGCUCGCCUUCUAAAUAACGCCGGAGGGCUACAGAAAUAACCUCAGAAGCGCUCAUGCCUGAUUGCAGGAACCGAUUUGUUUGUCAGUUUGCGGUGGGAAGGAAGUGCAUCUUUUAAUUGCUGCAGGCAGGAUCCUGGUAGGAGCCUGGGGCCGGUGCUGCGCUGCGGUCCAUCCGAUUCCCUUCUGCCCCGGCUCUUGGACUGACCCGAGAGUGCCUCUAGUUCUGCUCACACGGGCUGUGAGGACAUGGCUGCAAGCCGCUGACUUAUUUUCAGCUAGUUAGGUGGCUGUAGGACUAGCUGAACAGGACACCAUACCAAUUUUUCCAGCACAGCCAUGGGAUCCACCACAGAUUGCAGCCUAGGUAGCUCAGGAGGCAAAACCAUCUUUUUUCCCUGCUAGGAGAGGGCAGGAGCUGCAGGAGCUGCAAGGCUCAGAGCAAAAAUAGCAGGUUGGUGUUGGAAGAAAUGGUUAAUGUGUCGGGGCUGCUGCUGGAAUCCCUCCACCAGGGAUCUGCCCGAGUGCAGCGGGAAUGCUGCUUGCUCGGUGAUGUGCAUGCACUCACAGAGCGUGUCUCAUUAGCGUGUUGUUAAUGUCAGUAAUUAUUGGUGCUGUGAGCGCGGGAGCAUACGUAGAUAAAUGCACAGCUACCAGGAGCGCUGGGAGAAAUGCACCCGCCUGUUAUUAGGGGUAUUAGGGUCUCGGUUUUAGAGCUGUCGCCCCGUGCAGGGGUACCUGGCUGUCACAAGAAGUUUGGUGACAUCUGUGCCUCUGGGAGGGGUGUGCAGGGAGCACGGUGUGACCCCCAGAGAAGGAGCCUUGCCUACUUCACCGUGCCUUGUGAAGUCCUCAAAAUUUUCCUCCUUUGACUGCAGCUGGACCUGGAAGGAUGAGCGUGCGCCUUUCUGCCGGGGUGGGGAGCACAGGAACCCUUUGCACACCUUGGCUCAGCGUGGUGAGGCAGGUUGGCAGCAAAGCUGGGGGGCUUUGGGGCUUUUUUUUGGGGGGCAGGGGGCUGCCACGCACAGAUGCAGCUGCGGUGCUGGGCAGGAGGGUGCACCCCGAGUGGGGGAAGUCAGGGGGCAUCAAUCCUUUCCUUUCUUCCCCCAAAACCACUUGUGGGCACAUCCACACGGCAUUGUCCUCCCUCCAGGGAACCGGCUCUAGCUCGGACCUGCUGAUUUGAUAUCCCUGCCCCAAUGCAGGCACAUCCACGUCUCCAGUGCAGCAGCAGCAGUGGGGGACCCCCUGCGAGCCCACCUUCCCUGCGUGGGAUCCUCUCUGCUCCUCUAACAGGGAACAGGGUACACCCUCCUGCCCCGCUCUUGUGCACCAGUCUCAGUUCUUGUUUUUCUCCCAGCCAAACCAAGGUUAAAACCCUGCCUGCCAGGCUGCUCAGUGCAUUGCACUGCCCUGCCCCUGAGCUCUGCCUGCCUCCAGCCCUGCUGCCCUGCCUCUGCUGUGCCGGGGUCCUGCAAAACUCAGCGGGGUGCUACCACGCUGGGAAUGGUUGGGAUGCAGGCUCAGGGUGCUGCAAACACCCCACAGCAGCCCCAGCUCCCUGCAGCAGCCCCGAGCCCAGCUUUCGAGGACUUUUCCCUUCUCCUUGCUCUGCUCCAGCUGCACCAGUCCCCGCUCCUCAUCCCUCCACCCUCCAGGACUGCCCCUUUUUCCAGCACAGCCCCCUCUCUUUGCUGGGGCAAAUUCCCCUUCUGCCCGCAGCGCUAAGAAGCUUUGAGCUGCCUCUGCUUCUGCCUGGCAGUUUGCGUUGGCAAAGAGGCGCUAGGCACCGGGCUUGCCACAUCAAAUGAAAAAUAUCAUGCAACCAAAAAUUCUUAGAAAAACCCAAACGCAUCUAAUCUGCCGAAUGGGGCACGCGAGGCACCGACAACAAGAUCAGGGCAGGGCAGGAAAGGGCAGGAAGGAUGGACAAAGGAAGGGUGUUGUAAAAAAGAUCUAUUUUAUAUGUAAAAUUUCAGGGUAGUAUUUUUUAACAAUUUGCAUAAUUGGCUACCACAGAUAAUCCCCUGAAAUGAACUAAAUAUAUCACAACUGGGGGCUUUCCAAGCCCAGCUUGCUUUCUGAAAUUGAUUGGUUUCAGCUUUGCUUUUUUUUUUUUUUUUUUUUUCUGCGCUCUUUCUUUCUAUCUUUACCAGCUGAGUUUGGCUGGUUUCUGAAACGCCUGAUUUGGGAGCAAAACUAAACAUUCACCUGGGGAUGGCUUACUAUGGUACGAGUUUGAGUCAAUGAAAAUGCGACUUAAUUUUAGAUUUCGUUAGGAAAAGGGAACUAAGGCAGAAAACAGCUGCUGCAGUGACAGAUGAAGACCAGCCCGUUCUGAUGCUUUUCAUAAAAAGUCAGGUGAAACGGCAUUUAAAGCUCUGCUGGCCUAAAUAGAUAGCUGGGGCGAGCUGGCCCGGGUCCCCUGGAGUCAAAUCUAGCCCAGCUGCUCACAAAGGGAGAUGCUCCGAAGCCACUUCUGGAAAUGCUCUCCUAAAUGAGUUGCCAAAAGAUGUAGUGCUUGGGUAUAAACACGUCUCUUCAUCUGUUUGCAACUCCUUCCAGUCGCUUUUUUGUCCUGUUCUGGAAGCCACUUAAGCAAAGGGGUUUGGGUCCAACUGCUUCUCACCUUGAAUGGUCUUGGUUAAGAAAAUAAUGUCAUGAAACUGAGACAGAUCCCAGCAACAGGCAGGCGCAGGUAUAGAAGCGAUGGACAUGGCAUAAACCUAAACAAUACCCACAAGCACAGUUUUAUUUCUGUUUAAAUAGAGAUUUGGUCCAAGCUGUAGCAAAAGCCACUCUAAAAAGGAGGUUUAAAUUGACAGAAAGAUGUGUUUUGACCUUAGAAGCAUCGGGCUUUCUUCAGAAGGCUGGUGUGCAUCCUAACUGGAUGAUGCAUCGAAGCGCCGCCGAGAUUCAGUGUUCAGAUGAUAUCACUCCGAGCUAAUUAGCUGUACUCAAAAGCCUGACCAAGUCAGAGGAAAGGGAAUGCUGUGGUUGCCAGUAAUGGGAAAGAUAUUAGGAAACACGUCCCGCGGGCCAAAUCCUGCAACGUUAAGCUCGUACUCCAGCACGCUUCCCUUCAAUUCAGUGAAAGCAUUGCUCUGAAGUUAAGAAUGAAUAAGAUACGAGAAAGGAGAGGGAGCCAGCUACGGGGGGAAACGGUUGUCUUGUGUUUGAGCACGGGACCGAGACCAGGAAAUCCUCCGCUGAGCCAGGGAAGGGCUGAAGGAGCUGGGAAGAUGCCUCGGUCCCUGUGCCUGCGGGCUCCCAGCCGUGUGCACCAGGGCAGCAGCCGAUGUGCCGCGUCCCUGCCGCGCUCUGACCCCGCUGCCGUGUCGCCAGGUGGAGCUGAGCACCCCACAGCCUGACCUGCUGGUCCCGGUCCAUUUUAUCAGCAGUUAUCAAGCACAAAUGAUGGGCUGUAGGCUGGGCUGGCUCCUGCUGAAGGAGCAGGGACUGUGACGCCAAACCGUCCCGGCGCGAUUUGCUAGCCCUCGUGUGCCAGAGCCCUCGUUCUUUUCCUGGGAAUGCUUGCAAUAUCUCACAGCUUUAGGGAAAUCUGGGUGGGAAAUAUCACAGAUGAGGGUGUUUGAAGUGCUUUGAAAGCCACCAACCAGAAAAAGUGAAACGCUGUCUUCGCUCUUCCUCUUACGCGUACAAAAUGGUACCUGCUUUUCAUUUUAUUCGGGGGAUUUCCUAUAGCAAAGGAUAUAGUUAUUCGCUCAUUGGAUUUGGUUUUCAAGCCCUUCGGUAUGUUAAGCAGUUUCAUUUUGAUGUCCCCCGAGGACACCGUAGUUGCGGUGUGCCCGAGGAUGAAGGUGGCACAGCUCGUGGUAGCUCAAAAUCAGAAGGAGGCAGCUGGGAAACGCGAGGCAGAAAGCAGUGGGGAAAAGAAAUAUCGUGUUCAUGGACAGCCCGGGGGGGCCGGGCCCGCUGCUGAUGCAGAGUCAGGUAACUGAAGGCUUUCUGCAGGGAAGAGCUUUCAGAAAUGGCCGUUUGAAUUUCCAUCCC